UGGCGUUCGGCAAAGAAUUUUCAUUUUUUUUGCUUUUUGCUUCCAAAAUUUUUUGUUAUGCAUUAUGCAUUAUUUAUUUAAUAGUACAUGUUUAAGUUUUGGUAUUUUUUAAAUUUUUUUAUUAUAUAUCGUUAGUUUAUUUGAUUUAAUUGAAUUUCUCUGACAAACGUGGGUUUGAACUGCAGAUGUAUCAGAGUAGGAGUAGGAGUAGGUGCAGUAGUAGUUGGAGUAGGAGUAGGAGUACGAGUAGUAGUAGGUGAAGUCGUGGUAGGCAACGUGGUAGUAGGUAGUGAAAGGAUCAAGAUGCCCAAGAGGGGGGGUGAAUUGGGCUUCUCUGAAAAUUUAAGCAACCUAUAAGCUUCAAUUCAACCCCUUGUGCCUAGAGUGUCCUAGAGAGCUACCGGAUAAAAGUUUUGCAACCUAGUUCCAAUCCUAUUCUAGCUUGGCAAUUCUAAGAAUGUAAAAGCACAAAGUAAAUGUUAGAAUGUAAAGGAGUAGUGGAAGAAAGUGCUCGGCGAUGUUUUGCCGAGGUAUCGGAGAGUCGCCACUCUCCACUAGUCCUCAUUGGAGCACCCGCGCAAGGGUCUUGCUCCCCCUUGGUCCUCGCAAGGACCAAGUGCUCUCUACGGGCUGAUUCUUCGACACUCCGUCGCGGU
rnacentral:lncRNA from 1 species